AGAGCCGUUGCCUGUGGGAUAUGAAGACUUGUUUGACCUCUUCACACUUGGUGCAAUGGAUAUGGCCCUUCUUCGCUGCUUGUCACUGGCUUUUUCCAAAUCCAUACCCAAGAAGAAGAACAAGACGAAAAAUGUGAAGUUGACCCAUGCCACCAAAUUUGUUUGCCAGCAGCAACCUCUGGACAACACAUGUGGGUUCUAUGUGUCGCACAACCUUAUGCUUGCCAUGGGACAGACCAACUUGGAUGCUC